rnacentral:rRNA from 1 species
CGCGGCCUAUCAGCUUGUUGGUGGGGUAACGGCCCACCAAGGCAUCGACGGGUAGCUGGUCUGAGAGGACGAUCAGCCACACUGGGACUGAGACACGGCCCAGACUCCUACGGGAGGCAGCAGUGGGGAAUAUUGCGCAAUGGGCGAAAGCCUGACGCAGCAACGCCGCGUGGGGGAUGAAGGCCUUCGGGUUGUAAACCCCUUUCAGCAGGGACGAAAAUGACGGUACCUGCAGAAGAAGCCCCGGCCAACUACGUGCCGGCAGCCGCGGUAACACGUAGGGGGCAAGCGUUGUCCGGAUUUAUUGGGCGUAAAGAGCUCGUAGGCGGUUGCGUAAGUCGGAUGUGAAAACGCAGGGCUCAACCCGGAGACGCCAUCCGAUACUGCGCUGACUAGAGUCCGGUAGAGGAGCGUGGAAUUCCUGGUGUAGCGGUGAAAUGCGCAGAUAUCAGGAGGAACACCAGUGGCGAAGGCGGUGCUCUGGGCCGGUACUGACGCUGAGGAGCGAAAGCGUGGGUAGCGAACAGGAUUAGAUACCCUGGUAGUCCACGCCGUAAACGUUGGGCACUAGGUGUGGGGCCUCCUUAACGGGUUCCGUGCCGUAGCUAACGCAUUAAGUGCCCCGCCUGGGGAGUACGG